rnacentral:rRNA from 1 species
AUUGAACGCUGGCGGCAUGCCUUACACAUGCAAGUCGAACGGCAGCGGGGGAGAAGCUUGCUUUUCCUGCCGGCGAGUGGCGAACGGGUGAGUAAUACAUCGGAACGUGCCCUGUAGUGGGGGAUAACUAGUCGAAAGAUUAGCUAAUACCGCAUACGACCUGAGGGUGAAAGUGGGGGACCGCAAGGCCUCAUGCUAUAGGAGCGGCCGAUGUCUGAUUAGCUAGUUGGUGGGGUAAAGGUCUACCAAGGCGACGAUCAGUAGCUGGUCUGAGAGGACGAUCAGCCAAACUGGGACUGAGACACGGCCCAGACUCCUACGGGAGGCAGCAGUGGGGAAUUUUGGACAAUGGGCGAAAGCAUGAUCCAGCAAUGCCGCGUGUGUGAAGAAGGCCUUCGGGUUGUAAAGCACUUUUGUCCGGAAAGAAAUGGCUCUGGUUAAUACCUGGGGUCGAUGACGGUACCGGAAGAAUAAGGACCGGCUAACUACGUGCCAGCCGCCGCGGUAA